rnacentral:rRNA from 1 species
UACGUAGGGUCCGAGCGUUGUCCGGAGUUACUGGGCGUAAAGCGCGCGCAGGCGGCGGUGCUGGCCCGGCGUGAAAGCCUCCGGCUCAACCGGGGAGGGUCGUCGGGGACCGCACCGCUUGAGGGCGGUAGGGGCUGGUGGAAUGCCUGGUGUAGUGGUGAAAUGCGUAGAGAUCAGGCGGAACACCCGUGGCGAAGGCGGCCAGCUGGGCCGUCCCUGACGCUGAGGCGCGAAGGCGUGGGGAGCGAACGGG